CGCUGGCGAGGUGAGCGUGCCGGUACGUGCCGACAGCCUGUAGCGGGAGCAGAAAACCCCUCCAGAUGAGAGAGAAUACUGGGGGAGAUGUUAAAUACUGUGACAGGAAAAGUUACCGAAUAAGCUGGUUGGACGUCUCCAAGUUUUCUUCAAAAGCACACAGGACACUGUAAACAAGACUGAUUAGAAGCAUACAGAAAAUCCUGACCAUCCUGCAAUUAACCUUGGAAACCAGCAAGGCUGAAGAGACAGAGGCAUCGCUAUGAAAAGUUGCAUGUUACAGGCUAGGAUUCUGAAACAGGACCUGACUCUGGCAGCUCCUUGAAAAAAGAAGAGUUUUGGCUGUGAUACAAUGGCAAGUUUUUAAACAAAAUUAGGAAAUUGGAGUUCUUGUUAUACUGACCAUGGGAAUUUACAGGGUUAAAGCGGUCUUGAAAAUCGCAAAAAUAUGUGAAGGUUUAUGUUCUUUAACUGUGUUAAGUAUCUCUUUUUCAGAGAGAUGAGAAUUGGUGACUUAAUUUUAGUGGAAUGAUUCUGGACUCCCUAAACAUUACUGUGAAAGAGCUUGUUUGCAUAUUUUGUAGAGUGCUGAGGCACAGAGGGCAGAAAACUUGUCUUGAACUGUGAAAAGACAAGUGCCUUGCAGGAACAUUGAUUCAUAGCGCUCCGAAAAUGUUGUUUGUGUAUGUGUUUGUUUAUACGUGGUAAGAGCAAUGAGCUUUUUUCCCCCUCAAUUUUGUGCUGAUUUUCACUGUUACACAUAAUGAAACAUUUUAAGAGUUUCUCUUAGUAAUUAAGUACUGUUUACAAAUUAGCAAGCAAGGGUUGCAGAAAAAGUGGUAAAACUUCAGUUUUAGUGGCUUUUCCCGCUAUGAUGGCAGUAAACCCUGUAUCAGAAUAGGACCCUGGGUUAUCACUGUCUUACGUUUGCCAGCCUGACCUCAGGAUAGGAUCCGGAACAAAUACACAAAUAGUGUCUGUCUGUCUCCUCCUUGGAAACAAACUUGUCAUUGGCUCCAAAAAUCAGUUGUUUUUCAUAUUACAAGGUGCUUUGUGCUACUUCAUCACAGAUCGGUUUCCAGAACAAUUUUAUUUUCUGAAUACAAAAUGCUAGAAAGCAAUAGCAUUCCUGGAAUAAUAUUAGUGCAAGAACACCAGAAAUUUGUGGAUAAUCUGAAAGACCCAUUUGUGGUUGGUUAUCAUUAACUAGGUCACACAGCAGUCUGUAUAUACAAGUAUACUUCCACAGCUGAAAAGCAGCUGUGUCACCCCUGACAUUUCACAAACACAAGUAGUUGUUCCUAACAUUGCAGUUAAUUAGGUUUAGGAAUAUUUUAUAAUCCUAAUCUGUUUAGCAUCAAUCCAUGAUGAAUAAUCAAAUAAAUUAGUAUUUUGGAGAAUCUUCUUGAACUGUGGUCUUUCACUUCAAAAAAAAAAAAAAAAAAAAGUUAGGAGUAUUUUUUUUUGGUGCAGGGUAUAUCCAGCCCAGCUGGGGAAUGUAUAUUCCGGUUGAGCCUGUGUCAGUGGGGAUCUCAUGGAAGUCCCACCACCCUUUGUUCCUGCAGUGGCAAUUUUAGGACAACAUAACCCUAAGCACAUCUUUGUCAAACAGAUUCUCUAUAUCAAAUCAUAGUUAUCUUCAUCCAGCUUUCCGGAAUGUAUUCUACAUUAUAUUUGUCCAAUUACUUUUGUUUUACCUUUUUUUUUUUUUUUUUUUUCAUAAGGUUGAAGCUGAUUCUAAAGUACUUGGGCAUUUUUAUUUCCCUGGAUCAAGGUUUACAUUUCCUGCUCCACUUUCCCUGCCACCCUUCCCUUCCACUUCCUUUGCGGUGCAAAGCGUAGAUCAACCUAGAAAUAAUGUGCCUGGAUCUUGGCAGCCCUUGUGCCUAUGCUCCUUCAUUCAGGGAUGAGCCAGCCUACCUUACAGAUCUGACAGUCCUGACUUGUGGAUAAGAUCAUCAAUUUGGCCUAUCAGAGAGGGCUUCUGAAAUGAAUUUAGUAGUACCUACAAACCCCUGGGGGGCUCAGGCACACUGAAACUGCUGACUUGCCUAUACAACAGCAUCACGGGCUUUCUGCAGCCCAAGCUCAUACAGCAUCCUGGAAACGCAUGCUGCCUGUCCUGUAGUCCCCUCUUCUCCUCUAUGAAGGCAGAAAUGUUUAAAGAUGAACCUUGCCUAGUUUAUAGCUGGGACUGUGUAUGUAUAUAGGUAGAUACCUACCUUCAACAGUGGGGGAAAAGCAGUUACUGAUAAAGGAUUUCCCUUCCAAUACUAUGUUCUACAUACUCUCUGUAUUUAGGCAUUUGUCAUACCCAUCAAAACUGUGUAAGCACCUCAGCCUUUUUGCUUUUUUUUUUUCCCCACAGCAAUCUUAUGUAACAAGGCUUAGAUCCUUAAUUCUAACUUUCACUGAUCUCAGUUUCAUUAAGGUAUUACAAUGUAUUUAGAAAAGGGGCCUUAAAUGACCUUGCAGGAAGUUUAUGGCAGAACUGGGUCUCCCAAACCCAAAAUCUACUCCAGACAGCCUAACACGAACUGCUGGCUGAGACUAGCCUUCUUCUAUCCUUAGUCAUGUGAAUAGCCAGAUGAACUCGAGAGAGAUCAUAAAUUUAAGCAGAGAGAGGCAUAAGAUCAGACACCAGGAAAACAGCCUCAUUCCUACUUCUAGCAUGUACCUGCUCUGUGACUUUGAGCAACGUUCUUCUAUUUCUGUACCUACUUAAUAUUUAAUGUGCUUUUAACCAAAAAAGUUAUUUCUACAGAUGAAAAGGCUUGUAUAAGUUCUACAAACCAUCAGUAAAAUAGAGCAAGCAGUUAAAAACUGAGUUUUAGAUAAAGAUGAAAGAGACGUAAAAUCAGCUAUGACUUCCAGAUGUGUCAAAAAUAAGGGAGAAUAUAAUCAAAAUUCCAGCAUAUGUGCUAUCAAAAGGUAUUUGUUCAAUUUGUUUCUGAAGACCUAACUGUACUAUUUAAUUGGAUACUUUUUAUAAAAGACUUGAUAAUAAUCUUGAAUGUUACUUGUCAAAAAUAUGCAUUUCAUAAUAAUGAUUUGCACAUCAAUGAAAGCUGCAAUAGAAAAUACCGAAUCAUAUACUUUCAAUACAAUAGAAUGAAUCCUUGAAGCAAUUUGAGUGCAAUUACUUUUUAAAAAUGUUUUAUCGAGACAGAAUAAAGAAAAUCAACUGAACAAAAGAAGAUGAUAGUACCACAGUGGUGUCCCCACUCUUACCUGUGAUCACAAGUGGAUGUUUAUUCUCAUCAGGACAGACAGAAUAGUUCUGGCCCUCUUUCAUUCCCCUUAAUUUCUUGGAAGAGCACUUCAGUCAUACAUAUGUAAUGAACAGUCUUUGUGAGGGCUGUGAGCCCAGAAAUAAAUGACAUCAAAGGUGAAACCGUUUGUCUCAUGGGUUUGUUUCUUGUUUUUUCUUGCUAUUCCAAAUACUGCAAGGUAUCUUAUCCAAACACAUGCUACCUAUGACCAUUGUUACACCAUGUCACCAAAUAAUGCCUAUACGGAAUCAACAUUUUAUUCAACGUUUUAUCCAAUGUUUUAUUAUUAAUGUAUAUUGAAUCAACAUUCAAUGUUUUAUUAAUACAAGUAUGAAGCCUUCUAACUAACUGUUCUCCUUGUGUCUGAUAAAUUUCUGAAUGUCACUGCUUAAUAAAAGCAAAGCACUUGUAGCUGCAGAGCGUUCUGUUAUGGAAUGAAAUAAACUGAGGGGAAAAAACCCUGUGAUAAAAAUUU